rnacentral:rRNA from 1 species
UACGGAGGGUGCGAGCGUUGUCCGGAAUCACUGGGCGUAAAGGGCGCGUAGGCGGCGCAGCAAGUCGGCGGUGAAAGCCCGAGGCUCAACUUCGGGUCGGCCGUCGAUACUGCUGUGCUCGAGCACUGUAGAGGCAGAUGGAAUUCCGGGGUGUAGCGGUGGAAUGCGUAGAGAAUCCGGAAGAACACCGGUGGCGGAAGGCGGUCUGCUGGGCAGUUG